rnacentral:rRNA from 1 species
GACGAACCGAGCGAACGUUAUUCGGAAUCACUGGGCUUAAAGGGUGCGUAGGCGGGCACGCGAGUCAGGGGUGAAAUCCCACGGCCCAACCGUGGAAGUGCCUCUGAUACCGCGAGUCUCGAGGGGGAUAGGGGCGUGCGGAACUUCCGGUGGAGCGGUGAAAUGCGUUGAUAUCGGGAGGAACUCCGGCGGCGAAAGCGGUGCACUGGUGGAUUACUGACGCUGAGGUGCGAAAGCCAGGGGAGCAAACGGG